AGCGGCGUUGCCAUGGAGACGCAGAGCAGGAAGAACAUUCCACUGUUGACAGACUGGUAAAGCUAAACCUUCUCGGGGUUCUCUCCUGUAACAGAUAAACACUGUCCGCUGAAGUUGAAUAGACCGACUCGUUAACACUAUUGACAUCACCGGACGCCCGUGUUGAGGCUGCUGCCGCGGUCUGAGUCAACAGGAUCAGGAUGCGUCGGAACCCCCCCCCCCGUGGUCAGGCCCCCCCCCCGCGGGGUCAGGGGGCGGCCCGGGCCAAGCAGAUGGGUCUGCUCCUGGACCUCACCCCCGAGGGGGAUGCGGAGGACGGCGGGAACGAGGAGGAGCUGGAGGCGGAGCUCCUGGCGCUGAUGGGAGGGGCAGGGAAACCAACGGCGAAGAAGAACGGAGGCAGAGCUCCUGUCCCCAUGGAGGAGAUCGAGCGGAUGGCGGCUCUCUGCAUGAAAGAUCUGGACGAGGACGACGUGGGAGAGGAAGACCUGGACGAUGAGGACCUGCUGGCGGAGCUGAACGAGGUGUUGGAGGAGGUGGAGGAGGAGGCUCCCCGACCCGCCCCACCUGUCACCAUGGUAACCGCCCCUCAGCCACGCCCUCCCCCGGGCGGGGCCAGCGGACCGGAGUCCGUCCUCCUGGAGCGCAUCGCCAUGUACCAGGCGGCCGUCGCCAACGCAACGGCCUCAGGGGAGACGAGCAAGGCCCGCCGCUACGACCGCGGCCUCAAGACUUUACAGUCCAUGUUGGCGUCGGUCAAAAAAGGGAAACCAAUCAAUGAGGAGGAUAUGCCACCGCCUGUCGCCACAGGUGGAAAGCCCAAUGUCCCGCCUCCUCAGCCUGAGCCAAUCAAGGAGCGCGAACAGCCAGCGCCAAACCUCAUGCCUUCUCUGCCAACGAAUCAGAAGCCGCUGAGGGAAGCCCCGCCUGUGAUCCCAAACGUUAAGCCUCACUCUCUCACCCCCCCAAAGGCAGCCUCCACCGCCCUAACCCCUGGGACCCCGGCAAUCUCCCCCCUCACCCCCGGACACACACACUCACAGCACUCAGAGCUGAAGCAGGCCGUGCUAUCCAGACAGAGGGACUACAAGAUGGCCGCUAUCCACGCCAAGCAGGGCGGCGACUCAGAGCUGGCCAAACAACACUACCUCAUCGCUAAGAGACUGGACCCUGUGCUGGAGGCCCUGGACCGGGGGGAGCCUCUGGACCUCCGCUCCCUCCCACCAGCGCCGGCCAGACAGAGCCCUGCCCCCAGUCCGGCCGGGCCCCCGCCCGCGCCCGCUGCCACCCCGACCCCGGGCCCUGUGGCCCCUGCUGAGCUGGCGGCUCCUGGCAGUGUGGAGGAGGCCUUGACCCAGAGGAUGGACCGCUACAAAGCAGCCGCCACCACAGCCAAGAGCACCGGAGACGAACGCAAGUCCCGCAUGCACCAGCGCAUUGUCAAGCAAUACCAGGACUCCAUCAAAGCUCAUAAGGCCGGUCGGCCGGUGAACCUGUCGGAGCUCCCCGUGCCACCAGGCUGUCCACCACUCCAGGGUUUAGACGUUGGGCAGCAGAAUUUCAUGGGUGUCAUGGAAACAGCCAUGAAAUUAGCCAAUCAGGAGGCAGAUGUGGAAGAGGACAGCCAUGCAGACGCUGCAAAGCCGAUCGCUCGGCCCCAGGCUCCCAAAGCCCCAGCCGUCCCCUCUCAGGCCCCCGCCAAGAUGGGAGCUAAAGCUCAGCAGCAGCUGGAUUUCUUAUUGCUACGACGACAAGGACUGACCAAUGCAGCACUGCGGUCGAAGCAGAUGAAGGACCUCCAGGGGGCGACGCAGCACCUCCGGCACGCCAAGGGGCUGGACGCCAUGAUCACCGCCGCUAGAGCCGGCCUCCCCGUGGACAUCUCACAGGUUCCUGACGCUCCGGUCUUUGAGGAGGCCUUCUCCCUGGGCCGCCCCCGGACCCCCCUGUCCCCCCGCUCCGGGGCGCAGUACCAGCAGCUGAUGGAGCUCCUGAGGAAGCAGCACCAGAAAUGCCGCGGCUACUGCAAGCAGUUCACCCAGAUAGGAAACCUGGCCGAGACACUCAAGUGUGAGAGGCUGGCCGAGGAGUGCAUGAAGAGCGUGGAGGUGCUGAAGAGGGCCCACGCCCAGGGCCACGGGGCCCCCCGGGCGCGCCACGAGGAGCGGACCCUCAACGUGAUCAGGGUGAACCCCGACCUGUCGAUGAACGACAUGAUGCUUCACAUCAUCAGAGGCAUCAAUCUACCCACCCCUUCAGGCGUCUCUUCCAGCGAUCUGGACUCUAGUGUGAAGUUUGAGUUUCCUUUCCCAAGUGUGGAGGAGGCGCAGUGUGACCGGACGGCCACGGUCCGCUCCACCUCCAGCCCCGAGUUCAACGAGAGUUUCAGGCUGAGCAUCAACCGGGGCCACCGAGUGUUCAGACGGCUGAGCAAGGGCAUCAGGCUGGAGGUCCUCCACAAGGGAGGCCUAUUCAAGACGGACAAGGUGGUGGGCGGCGCCCAGCUGAAGAUGGACGCCCUGGAGAACCAAUGCGAGGUCCGGGAGAUCCUGGAGGUGCUGGACGGCCGGCGGCCCACCGGGGGGAAGCUGGAGGUCCGCCUGCAGCUGCGGGAGCCCCUGGGGGGGGCGCAGCUGCAGGCGGUGACGGAGAAGUGGCUGGUGCUGGAGCCGCCGCCCCCCUCCCCCACCAAGAGGCCCAAGGACCGGGCUCCCCCUUCCCCCCGCUCCGGGCCGCGGGGUGCCCCCCCCCCCAGCAGCUCCCCUCCGAAGUACAGCCUCCACAGCUUCAGCCUGCUGCACCACGAGAAGGAGGGCGUCGAGAGGAAGCUGGUGGAGUACAAGAGGAUCCGCCGCGAGCCCCCAGCCGACCUGCUCCUUCAGCACCGAGAGCUCGGCCUGCGCCUGCAGUGGCAAAAGACCCAGCUGGAGAGAGGGUCCCCCGCCCUCCUGCAGGGUAACACUCACUAUAACACCCAGCUGGAGAGAGGGUCCCCCGCCCUCCUGCAGGGUAACACUCACUAUAACACCCAGCUGGAGAGAGGGUCCCCCGCCCUCCUGCAGGGUAACACUCACUAUAACACCCAGCUGGAGAGAGGGUCCCCCGCCCUCCUGCAGGGUAACACUCACUAUAACACCCAGCUGGAGAGAGGGUCCCCCGCCCUCCUGCAGGGUAACACUCACUAUAACACCCAGCUGGAGAGAGGGUCCCCCGCCCUCCUGCAGGGUAACACUCACUAUAACACCCAGCUGGAGAGAGGGUCCCCCACCCUCCUGCAGGGUAACACUCACUAUAACACCCAGCUGGAGAGAGGGUCCCCCGCCCUCCUGCAGGGUAACACUCACUAUAACACCCAGCUGGAGAGGGUCCCCCGCCCUCCUGCAGGGUAACACUCACUAUAACACCCAGCUAGAGAGGGUCCCCCGCCCUCCUGCAGGGUAACACUCACUAUAACACCCAGCUGGAGAGAGGGUCCCCCGCCCUCCUGCAGGGUAACACUCACUAUAACACCCAGCUAGAGAGGGUCCCCCGCCCUCCUGCAGGGUAACACUCACUAUAACACCCAGCUAGAGAGGGUCCCCCGCCCUCCUGCAGGGUAACACUCACUAUAACACCCAGCUAGAGAGGGUCCCCCGCCCUCCUGCAGGGUAACACUCACUAUAACACCCAGCUGGAGAGAGGGUCCCCCGCCCUCCUGCAGGGUAACACUCACUAUAACACCCAGCUGGAGAGAGGGUCCCCCGCCCUCCUGCAGGGUAACACUCACUAUAACACCCAGCUGGAGAGAGGGUCCCCCGCCCUCCUGCAGGGUAACACUCACUAUAACACCCAGCUGGAGAGAGGGUCCCCCGCCCUCCUGCAGGGUAACACUCACUAUAACACCCAGCUGGAGAGAGGGUCCCCCGCCCUCCUGCAGGGUAACACUCACUAUAACACCCAGCUGGAGAGAGGGUCCCCCGCCCUCCUGCAGGGUAACACUCACUAUAACACCCAGCUAGAGAGGGUCCCCCACCCUCCUGCAGGGUAACACUCACUAUAACACCCAGCUGGAGAGAGGGUCCCCCACCCUCCUGCAGGGUAACACUCACUAUAACACCCAGCUGGAGAGAGGGUCCCCCGCCCUCCUGCAGGGUAACACUCACUAUAACACCCAGCUGGAGAGAGGGUCCCCCGCCCUCCUGCAGGGUAACACUCACUAUAACACCCAGCUGGAGAGGGUCCCCCGCCCUCCUGCAGGACUACCAGGCUGUGUUGGGCCGGUUCGUUCAGGGCCUUGGUGACUCAGUGAAGAAGUUCUCCAGCCAAGGGAACCGGGAGGCUGCCAAAGAGGCCCUGGGCCGGCUGAAGUUGGUUGAGGUGGAGCUGGAAUCUCUG